rnacentral:snRNA from 1 species
AGCCUUGCCCAGUGGCGAUAACGUGUCCGAUGAAGGCUAUGCCGAAGUGUAUUUAUUGCUGGUUGAAAACGCAUCCCAAUCGCCCACUUUGUUCCAUGAAAGCUGGGUUCCAUAAGCAAUUUUUGAACGCCCCAGAGGGC